GGGGCCGUAGCUUAGUUGGGAGAGCGCCGCCCUUGCACGGCGGAGGUCAGGAGUUCGAAUCUCCUCGGCUCCACCA
rnacentral:tRNA from 1 species